UGCUGUACCCAUUUCACAUCUAUUAAAUAUAAUAACAAACACAUAGGCCUAUGAAUUAUUAACAACCCAAUAAAUUGUAUUGGGUUAUGCAAUUUACUUGCUGUAUUGAAAUACAAAAUAACAUAUAUUUAGAUGUAUCCUUUUCGAGUUUGUUUUUGGAAGAUACAUUUUGAAUAGGCUACAUGUGCUGAUUCAUUUUCUUUUCAAUUCUGUAGUAUAGUAGGCUAUUAUCCUCUGGACUAUAAAUAAGACAACUAAGAUAUCUCUCGCGGUGGGUUUUGUGUGUUGUGAUCCGGUGGAACCUAACUCUAAUGUUCCUUGAAUGAGCGACCUGAGGUCGGAUUAGGACCGCGGGGACUCCCCCAUGGCCCCGCCGCGCUUUACCCAAAUCCACCCGGACUACCCUCCACACACGGAGCUUCAGGACCCGCCAACGUGACACGUACUGUAAUAUGACCUCGAAAACAUAACAUGUACUAAGAAACGGUAAGUAGGCUAUGAGCAAAAAUAAAUAAAUAGAAGCAUUAGAAUAUAUCGGGUCAUCCGUUCAUGCAUCGUCAUGUUGAUAGGCCUCCUAUUGAAAUGAUUGCGGGGACACAAACAAACCCUGUGCCUUCUCGACCACACGCUCCGCCUCUUCGUCAAUCCAGACAAAUUCUACGACUUGAGCUAGAGCUUUUAAGCCGUAAUUGAGCACAGGGUGCCCAGGAAAACCAAAGGCACAGACCUGAGUUUUUAUAGCUCCUAUAGUAUUCUACAGCGGGGUUUUUUCCUCAGCCAGACCCCAUCAAACCGACCAGGCGUGAUAGGAAGUCGCCACCUACACGGACAAAGUCAGGAGCCGAAGCCGUCCAGCGACAUAAAAAAAACUAGACAUUCUAAAACUUAACAAAGACAGGUGACAGAAAUGUGAGGAGAGGGCGAUGGCGACGACAGAGGGACCGAGGAGGGACUACAAAAGAAAAAACAGCGCCUAGUGGGAACACUAUUCAACUCCAUGGUCAAUGGAGGGACGUGGCAUUAGCCUUACUAUCUCUUGAAUCAAUUCAAGGGAAACGACUGAUAUCUGUCUCGCGUUGAACUCCCAAGGACAGAGUGACACAAAGCGAGUAAAAUGACCUCAGCGACAGAGAGUGGACAACCGCAACAACAUAACUAACCUUGUGUUGCAUGGAAUAUGGAUUAUUCCCUAUAUAGCUCAAAAUUGGCGAGAAAAUAAUUUCACAAGGCAAAAGACACAUUUCAAACAUUUCACCAGGACCUUUGACUUGUGUAAAUAAUGUUGAAAUGGCUAUAGCUUAAUAAAUUGUGAAACAAAA